GCAGACACAUUCCAGCCAAUCAGCAGCAGACCCUCCCUCCUAGUCCCUCCAAUCUCCUGGACAGCAUCCAUUGUGAAGCUGCAUUCUUAGUGAGCUGUCCAGAAGGUGGGAGGGUCUGGGAGGGAGGGUCUGAUGCUGAUUGGCUGGAAUGUGUCUG
rnacentral:miRNA from 1 species